GCCCGGCUGGCGCAAUGGAUAGCGCGUCCGCCUCCUAAGCGGAAGGUUGCAGGUUCGAGUCCUGCGUCGGGCG